UAGCUAGUAAGAUAUCCAGAGAGGGUAAAUAAUUGUCUUGUUCAAUUUGGUUUGUGAAGUUUAUGCUUUAAUGCUGUUUGUUGAUGUAAUUAUGAAAAAUACAGGAAAUGUCGUCAACACAUCUGCAGUAAAUAAAGUUUUGAUGUUGCUAUAUUUAAUUAACCAGUUAAGGCCAAUUUCCACUUCAUUCGCAAUUCGCAAAUCGCAUGCGAUGUCUGUACACAUGUGAAUUCAAUACACACUUAUCACAAACAUCAACGCUGUUCGCACGAUUUUCUAUUGUUUAAUUGACCAAUAAAAUGAAAUUAUUUUGUAUGGCAAAAUUUUGCGGGUUAAAUAAAAAACAUGGCAGUUUUUUGCAGAAGAAAAUUUUUAAUAUUGUUAUUACGAAAAAGGUAUCAAAAAAGGAAGGCAAAAUACAAGAAACGAUUUUGGGUCCGACCUAUUCAAAAAAGAAAAGAGCAAGGAGAGUAUGCCAAUCUGGUCAGAGAAAUGCAACUAGGAGACCACGAAAGUUUCUUUAAAGUGCACAUACAGUUAUUUUUAGUUUUUUAUUCUCAAAUAGAUUUUGGAUAAAUAAUACAAAUGCCGUUUACAGAAUUUGAAUAACUUUUUUCGUUUUUGAGUUAUCUUUCGGCAAAGAUGCGAAUAAAACCUAAAUUUCAACGUUUUGUAAAAAAUGUCGAGAGCUCUAAUCCGUGGCAUGGGACUUACUUGUGACGUCAUUUAAGGAACACAGACUGACUACCAAAACAACUUACACAGUUUAUGCAUGUAAACAAACACAAAAAUGCCAGAUCGAUGUGUAGUUUUUGGUUGUUCUAACGUAGCCAGUUUGGAGAAAGGCAUUUCACUUCAUCGCAUACCAUUUUUUAACGACGAAAGAAGCGAAGCUAAGCGUAGGAGAAAGCGAUGGGUCAACUUUGUGAAAGCUACUCGCGAUAAGUGGGUCCCCACAAAGAAUUCCGCAGUUUGCUCGGAACACUUCACAAAAGAUUCGUUUUCUCGGCAAUUCGGCUCGCUUUCUGAAUCAGAAAGUAAUUUUGCACCUCGACUCAUUCAAGAUGAAUUCGGAAUCGUUGCUUACCCGAGCAUUUAUCCUCGAAAAGAUGACAAUGAACUUACAACAAGAGAUCGCAGAAUGAUGAAAAGAAAGUGGAUGUCUGAUUAAAAAUGGUGAAGCUGUUGUAAGAAAUGUAAAAGUUGCUCAGGAUUUUGGGUAUGUUGAAGAUAUUUAUCAAGUGUUGUGCUCUGCACUCAUUGAUGAGGAAACAUUGAGAAAAGCCAAAGGUGAUCUUUUGAUCGAAUGACUCCAUUGCCAAUGAAUUCCAUGUUGGACAAGCAAUCAAAAAGUGAAGCUAUCUCAAAAAAAGCAAGAAGAAAAAGCAUGCCAGCUGUACAUUUCCCCCCAAAUAAGCCAGGUUUUACAAAAGGCAUUACUUGCUUUGAGUUAAUUUGAAUCUUAUUUUUGGAACUGACUCACUUUAUUGUUUGAUAUAGCUGAAGUAUCACCUGUCCAAGAAAUAAUCACUAAUCAGAGAAAUGAGAGAGCAGCACCUCGAUGCACUGUGUGCAAGAAUUGGAUGAAAGGCCAUAAAAAUAUAAUGAACUGUCCAAAAAACCGAAAGUAACCAGUUUUUUAGGACCUGGUGGUAUGAGCCCAGUUAGCUGGGAUUCAGUGAAGUGUGAAUUGACUGCAUGGACAGAAUAAAGAGAAAGGAAUUGUAAUUUUGUAUGUUUUGUAUAACAAGUAUAAGUGUGAAUCGAAGAUGCAAUAAAUCAAGAGUGGCUUAAAUCAUUCCACACUUCACUGAAUCCCUACUAGCUGGGCUCAUGCAAACAACGCCUAAAAUAAUAUAUAAUGUUAUGUUAUUUUACAAAUUGUCCUCUUCAUACCCUGCAAAGUGUUCAUUUUUUUUUAAAUUAAAAGUUUUUCGAAUAACAUGGUAAGCACAA